CAUCUACAUAUCGGACGUCUCUCGUGAGACCACGUUAAAAAGGGCAGAUCAGAUCACCAACUUCAUCUUAGAGGGACCCCUAUAACAGAUUAGCACUUGCCACGUGUACUCUAUUGACUUGUUUUCCACAACCUGAUUCACAUAAAAGAGAAAAGAGUAGAAUAUCUAUCAAUUUAGCUGAUCUUCUUACCAAAAACAA